rnacentral:rRNA from 1 species
UACAGAGGUCUCAAGCGUUGUUCGGAUUCAUUGGGCGUAAAGAGCUCGUAGGCGGUUUGUCGCGUCUGCCGUGAAAGUCCGGGGCUCAACUCCGGAUCUGCGGUGGGUACGGGCAGACUAGAGUGAUGUAGGGGAGACUGGAAUUCCUGGUGUAGCGGUGAAAUGCGCAGAUAUCAGGAGGAACACCGAUGGUGAAGGCAGGUCUCUGGGCAUUAACUGACGCUGAGGAGCGAAAGCAUGGGGAGCGAACAGG